GAUAAAUUCAGCCAUAAUAAUAUACUAAAAAAUAAAUUUAUAAAAUAUAUCAAUUCAAAUAUACAAUACUAAUCAAAAUAAGAUCCAUGUAAAUUUAAUCUUUCCAAAAUUCAUUCUCAAUUUUAUUUUCAUUCAAAAAUCAAUUUCUUUGAAACAUCUAGUUCACCUCAAUAGCCAUGAACUAUGAUCAUCCUUAUAUCCUGUGGU
rnacentral:lncRNA from 1 species